AACAGGAGCGUGUGAUUGGGGUUUACAGUGUUUUCUCUCUCUCUGUCUCUAGGGAAGUCGCGCUGUGUUUAGCUGCUGGGAUUUCGUAGAAUUGGGUUUCAGAGAAGUUACUCGAUUCCUGAGGCGAAACAUAAAGGGAUGGGAGUGGUGUGGGAAGUGAGCGUGUGCGGAAAAAAAAGUUUCGAGGCCGUUUCGCAUUUGUGGAAACAGCUUUUGGUGUGACCGCGCUUUUGUGGGAAACCCAAACCAAGGAGAACUCAGGAGAAUUGGCGCUCUUCGGUCCUGGAGGUUCCGCAGCUAACAUCCCGGCUUGACCAACUAUCGAGGCAGCAAAUUAAUAGGGCACCUCCUGGGAGGAAAACGCCCAACCUGACUUCUCAACUGUGACAGAGUUUCACUCUGUCGCCCAGGAUGGAGUGCUGUGGAGUGCAGUGGCACGAUCCUGCAACCUCCGCCUCUCCGGUUCAAGCGAGUCUCCUGCCUCAGCCUCCCGUUACAGGGGCGCACCACCCCACCCAGAUGAUCUUUUAAAAUGCAAAAUGCCAUCGACUCGGAAAAUCAAAGAGACAAGGCUUCUGCAUGUUGCUCAGGCUGGUCUCCAACUCCUGGACUCAAGCCAUCU